rnacentral:lncRNA from 1 species
AACACUUUCAUGCGAAGUUCAACAUUUUACACAACAAACAAAACAGAGAAACAAAAAGAAAAGCCAGCAUUGAGAUAUAUGAGCAGCCUCUCUCUGGAACAGAGAGUACAGACAGACGGAGACGGUGUGUCAGUGAGAAGCUUGAGGGCCAUUAGGAGGAUGAGUGGUCUGUCUGUCUGGCUGUCUCUCUGACUGGCACCGGGAAGCUUUAGUACCUCUCAAGUGAACAUCCAUCUUGUUCAGAACAAACAAGUGGUGUGAUACAGGACAUGAUUCACUUCUCACAGAAACUAGGAAGACUGUCUGUUCUGACGAGACAGAGAGCAACGGAAAGAGAUGAAGGGAGAGAGCGGGGGGAGGAGGAGACGGGGGGGCAAAUGGGGAGGCAGAAAGAACAGGGGGAGCAAAGGAUAAGGGGGCGAGAGAAUGGAGAGAAGUGAAAAACCGGGCGAAGGACGAGAAGGGGGAGAUCAGCCCACAGAUGUAACAGUUAGGGAGCUCAUUCUCUCCCAACAGGGAGGCUCAUACUCCUAGAUACAGCAGGGAGGCUCAUACAUACUCCUAGAUACAACAGGGAGGCUCAUACAUACUCCUAGAUACAGCAGGGAGGCUCAUACAUACUCCUAGAUACAGCAGGGAGGCUCAUACUCCUAGAUACAGCAGGGAGGCUCAUACAUACUCCUAGAUACAGCAGGGAGGCUCACACAUACUCCUACAUACAGCAGGGAGGCUCAUACUCCUAGAUACAGCAGGGAGGCUCAUACUCCUAGAUACAGCAGGGAGGCUCAUACAUACUCCUAGAUACAGCAGGGAGGCUCAUACAUACUCCUACAUACAGCAGGGAGGCUCAUACAUACUCCUAGAUACAGCAGGGAGGCUCAUACUCCUAGACACAGCAGGGAGGCUCAUACUCCUAGACACAGCAGGGAGGCUCAUACAUACUCCUAGAUACAGCAGGGAGGCUCAUACUCCCAGAUACAGCAGGGAGGCUCAUACUCCUAGACACAGCAGGGAGGCUCAUACAUACUCCUAGAUACAGCAGGGAGGCUCAUACAUACUCCUAGAUACAGCAGGGAGGCUCAUACAUACUCCUAGAUACAGCAGGGAGGCUCAUACAUACUCCUAGAUACACCAGGGAGGCUCAUACAUACUCCUAGAUACAGCAGGGAGGCUCAUGCAUACUCCUAGAUACAGCAGGGAGGCUCAUGCAUACUCCUAGAUACAGCAGGGAGGCUCAUGCAUACUCCUAGAUACAGCAGGGAGGCUCAUACAUACUCCUAGAUACAGCAGGGAGGCUCAUACUCCUAGAUACAGCAGGGAGGCUCAUACAUACUCCUAGAUACAGCAGGG